AUGCUUACUUUAACUAGUUAUUUUGGUUUUCUACUGGCUGCUUUAACUAUAACCCCAGCUCUAUUUAUUGGCUUGAACAAGAUACGCCUUCCGGGUGGCCGGACCAGGGCCUUCUCGGCGACGCUGAUGCCGACGACGCUGACGAAGUAG
rnacentral:rRNA from 1 species